AGCACGGAGAAGAAGGGUGACAAACCAUUUCAGCUGCUGCCUGUGGACUUUAAGAAAUUAAAAUAGCCCAAUUCAGUUUGGCCCAAGUGAUUAUGGUGGUUCUUAAAGUGUACAAAAGCGACGAACGCGUGCCCUGUGACACCGAGAUGCAGCCGCAGAUCACAGCUGAGCACAAUUCCAGAUGAAAACCGAUCUGGAAGCGGUUUGUAACUCUCUUUUUUUUGGGGGGGGGGGGGUUCUUCACCCCACGCC
rnacentral:lncRNA from 1 species